rnacentral:rRNA from 1 species
AACGCUAGCUACAGGCUUAACACAUGCAAGUCGAGGGGUAGCAGGGUAGCAAUACCGCUGACGACCGGCGCACGGGUGAGUAACACGUAUCCAACCUACCGUUAACUCGGGGAUAGCCUUUCGAAAGAAAGAUUAAUACCCGAUAGUAUAUUUUCUUCGCAUGUUGAAAAUAUUAAAGAAUUUCGGUUAUCGCUGGGGAUGCGUUCCAUUAGGCAGUUGGCGGGGUAACGGCCCACCAAACCUACGAUGGAUAGGGGUUCUGAGAGGAAGGUCCCCCACAUUGGUACUGAGACACGGACCAAACUCCUACGGGAGGCAGCAGUGAGGAAUAUUGGUCAAUGGGCGAGAGCCUGAACCAGCCAAGUAGCGUGAAGGAUGAAGGUCCUAUGGAUUGUAAACUUCUUUUAUAGUAGAAUAAAGUGAUCCACGUGUGGAUUUUUGUAUGUAUACUAUGAAUAAGGAUCGGCUAACUCCGUGCCAGCAGCCGCGGUAAUACGGAGGAUCCGAGCGUUAUCCGGAUUUAUUGGGUUUAAAGGGUGCGUAGGCGGAAUAAUAAGUCAGUUGUGAAAGUUUGCGGCUCAACCGUAAAAUUGCAGUUGAUACUGUUAUUCUUGAGUGUACAUAAGGUAGGCGGAAUUCGUGGUGUAGCGGUGAAAUGCUUAGAUAUCACGAAGAACUCCGAUUG